rnacentral:rRNA from 1 species
UGGCUCAGUAACACGUGGAGAAUCUAACCUUUGGUGGAGGAUAAUCUCGGGAAACCGAGAAUAAUACUCCAUAAACAUAGGAUGCUGGAAUGCUUCUAUGUUGAAAGGCAACGCCAAAGGAUGACUCUGCGACCUAUCAGGCUGUAGUGAGUGUAAUGGACUCACUAACCUGCAACGGGUACGGGUGUUGGAAGACAUUGCCCAGAGACGGACUCUGAGACAUGAGUCCAGGCUCUACGGAACGCAGCAGGCGCGAAAACUCCGCAAUGUACGAAAGUACGACGGGGGAAUUCUGAGUGCUUACGCCUUGCGUAGGCUGUUUUCUUGUCUAAAAAACAAGGAGAGUAAGGGCUGGGUAAGACGGGUGCCAUCUCGUGCAAUUCUGCACUUAUUGUGUUCGUUGCACGAAGCACAAGCCGCCGCGGUAAUACCCGCGGCCCGAGUGGUGCUCAUUAUUAUUGAGCCUAAAACGUCCGUAGCCGGUUUAAUAAAUUCUUGGGUAAAUCAUAUCGCUUAACGAUAUGAAUUCUGAGAACACUGCUAAACUCGGGAAUGGGAGAGGCCAGAGGUACUUUCAGGGUAGGGGUAAAAUCCCGUAAUCCUGAGAGGACCACCGGUGGCGAAGGCGUCUGGCUAGAACAUAUUCGACGGUAAGGGACGAAGCCCUGGGGCGCAACGGGAUUAGAUACCCCGGUAGUCCAGGGUGUAAACGCUGUAGAUUUGGUGUUGGAAAUCCUACGGGGAUUCCCAGUGCCGGAGAGAAGUUGUUAAAUCUACUGCUUGGGGAGUACGGUCGCAAGACUGAAACUUAAAGGAAUUGGCGGGGGAGCACCGCAACGGGUGGAGCGUGCGGUUUAAUUGGAUUCAACGCC